GAUGAACGCUGGCGGCGUGCCUAAUACAUGCAAGUCGAGCGAACACUUCGGUGUUAGUGGCGCACGGGUGCGUAACGCGUGGGAAUCUGCCCUUGGGUUCGGAAUAACGUCGGGAAACUGACGCUAAUACCGGAUGAUGACGUAAGUCCAAAGAUUUAUCGCCCAAGGAUGAGCCCGCGUAGGAUUAGGUAGUUGGUGAGGUAAAGGCUCACCAAGCCUACGAUCCUUAGCUGGUCUGAGAGGAUGAUCAGCCACACUGGGACUGAGACACGGCCCAGACUCCUACGGGAGGCAGCAGUAGGGAAUAUUGGACAAUGGGGGCAACCCUGAUCCAGCAAUGCCGCGUGAGCGAUGAAGGCCUUAGGGUUGUAAAGCUCUUUUACCCGGGAUGAUAAUGACAGUACCGGGAGAAUAAGCCCCGGCUAACUCCGUGCCAGCCGCCGCCGUAA
rnacentral:rRNA from 1 species